UUUUCGCAACACGAUGAGUUAGGUUAAUGAGGCGAACCGGGGGAACUGAAACAUCUAAGUACCCCGAGGAAAAGAAAUCAACCGAGAUUCCCCCAGUAGCGGCGAGCGAACGGGGAGGAGCCCAGAGCCUGAAUCAGCAUGUGUGUUAGUGGAAGCGUCUGGAAAGGCGCGCGAUACAGGGUGACAGCCCCGUACACAAAAGCGCAUGUGCU
rnacentral:rRNA from 1 species